rnacentral:rRNA from 1 species
UUAAGCGACUAAGCGUACACGGUGGAUGCCCUGGCAGUCAGAGGCGAUGAAGGACGUGCUAAUCUGCGAUAAGCGUCGGUAAGGUGAUAUGAACCGUUAUAACCGGCGAUUUCCGAAUGGGGAAACCCAGUGUGUUUCGACACACUAUCAUUAACUGAAUCCAUAGGUUAAUGAGGCGAACCGGGGGAACUGAAACAUCUAAGUACCCCGAGGAAAAGAAAUCAACCGAGAUUCCCCCAGUAGCGGCGAGCGAACGGGGAGGAGCCCAGAGCCUGAAUCAGUGUGUGUGUUAGUGGAAGCGUCUGGAAAGGCGCGCGAUACAGGGUGACAGCCCCGUACACAAAAAUGCACAUGCUGUGAGCUCGAUGAGUAGGGCGGGACACGUGGUAUCCUGUCUGAAUAUGGGGGGACCAUCCUCCAAGGCUAAAUACUCCUGACUGACCGAUAGUGAACCAGUACCGUGAGGGAAAGGCGAAAAGAACCCCGGCGAGGGGAGUGAAAAAGAACCUGAAACCGUGUACGUACAAGCAGUGGGAGCACGCUUAGGCGUGUGACUGCGUACCUUUUGUAUAAUGGGUCAGCGACUUAUAUUCUGUAGCAAGGUUAACCGAAUAGGGGAGCCGAAGGGAAACCGAGUCUUAACUGGGCGUUAAGUUGCAGGGUAUAGACCCGAAACCCGGUGAUCUAGCCAUGGGCAGGUUGAAGGUUGGGUAACACUAACUGGAGGACCGAACCGACUAAUGUUGAAAAAUUAGCGGAUGACUUGUGGCUGGGGGUGAAAGGCCAAUCAAACCGGGAGAUAGCUGGUUCUCCCCGAAAGCUAUUUAGGUAGCGCCUCGUGAACUCAUCUCCGGGGGUAGAGCACUGUUUCGGCAAGGGGGUCAUCCCGACUUACCAACCCGAUGCAAACUGCGAAUACCGGAGAAUGUUAUCACGGGAGACACACGGCGGGUGCUAACGUCCGUCGUGAAGAGGGAAACAACCCAGACCGCCAGCUAAGGUCCCAAAGUCAUGGUUAAGUGGGAAACGAUGUGGGAAGGCCCAGACAGCCAGGAUGUUGGCUUAGAAGCAGCCAUCAUUUAAAGAAAGCGUAAUAGCUCACUGGUCGAGUCGGCCUGCGCGGAAGAUGUAACGGGGCUAAACCAUGCACCGAAGCUGCGGCAGCGACGCUUAUGCGUUGUUGGGUAGGGGAGCGUUCUGUAAGCCUGUGAAGGUGUGCUGUGAGGCAUGCUGGAGGUAUCAGAAGUGCGAAUGCUGACAUAAGUAACGAUAAAGCGGGUGAAAAGCCCGCUCGCCGGAAGACCAAGGGUUCCUGUCCAACGUUAAUCGGGGCAGGGUGAGUCGACCCCUAAGGCGAGGCCGAAAGGCGUAGUCGAUGGGAAACAGGUUAAUAUUCCUGUACUUGGUGUUACUGCGAAGGGGGGACGGAGAAGGCUAUGUUGGCCGGGCGACGGUUGUCCCGGUUUAAGCGUGUAGGCUGGUUUUCCAGGCAAAUCCGGAAAAUCAAGGCUGAGGCGUGAUGACGAGGCACUACGGUGCUGAAGCAACAAAUGCCCUGCUUCCAGGAAAAGCCUCUAAGCAUCAGGUAACAUCAAAUCGUACCCCAAACCGACACAGGUGGUCAGGUAGAGAAUACCAAGGCGCUUGAGAGAACUCGGGUGAAGGAACUAGGCAAAAUGGUGCCGUAACUUCGGGAGAAGGCACGCUGAUAUGUAGGUGAAGUCCCUCGCGGAUGGAGCUGAAAUCAGUCGAAGAUACCAGCUGGCUGCAACUGUUUAUUAAAAACACAGCACUGUGCAAACACGAAAGUGGACGUAUACGGUGUGACGCCUGCCCGGUGCCGGAAGGUUAAUUGAUGGGGUCAGCGCAAGCGAAGCUCUUGAUCGAAGCCCCGGUAAACGGCGGCCGUAACUAUAACGGUCCUAAGGUAGCGAAAUUCCUUGUCGGGUAAGUUCCGACCUGCACGAAUGGCGUAAUGAUGGCCAGGCUGUCUCCACCCGAGACUCAGUGAAAUUGAACUCGCUGUGAAGAUGCAGUGUACCCGCGGCAAGACGGAAAGACCCCGUGAACCUUUACUAUAGCUUGACACUGAACAUUGAGCCUUGAUGUGUAGGAUAGGUGGGAGGCUUUGAAGUGUGGACGCCAGUCUGCAUGGAGCCGACCUUGAAAUACCACCCUUUAAUGUUUGAUGUUCUAACGUUGACCCGUAAUCCGGGUUGCGGACAGUGUCUGGUGGGUAGUUUGACUGGGGCGGUCUCCUCCUAAAGAGUAACGGAGGAGCACGAAGGUUGGCUAAUCCUGGUCGGACAUCAGGAGGUUAGUGCAAUGGCAUAAGCCAGCUUGACUGCGAGCGUGACGGCGCGAGCAGGUGCGAAAGCAGGUCAUAGUGAUCCGGUGGUUCUGAAUGGAAGGGCCAUCGCUCAACGGAUAAAAGGUACUCCGGGGAUAACAGGCUGAUACCGCCCAAGAGUUCAUAUCGACGGCGGUGUUUGGCACCUCGAUGUCGGCUCAUCACAUCCUGGGGCUGAAGUAGGUCCCAAGGGUAUGGCUGUUCGCCAUUUAAAGUGGUACGCGAGCUGGGUUUAGAACGUCGUGAGACAGUUCGGUCCCUAUCUGCCGUGGGCGCUGGAGAACUGAGGGGGGCUGCUCCUAGUACGAGAGGACCGGAGUGGACGCAUCACUGGUGUUCGGGUUGUCAUGCCAAUGGCACUGCCCGGUAGCUAAAUGCGGAAGAGAUAAGUGCUGAAAGCAUCUAAGCACGAAACUUGCCCCGAGAUGAGUUCUCCCUGACCCUUUAAGGGUCCUGAAGGAACGUUGAAGACGACGACGUUGAUAGGCCGGGUGUGUAAGCGCAGCGAUGCGUUGAGCUAACCGGUACUAAUGAACCGUGAGGCUUAACCUU